GCCCCCCAGCGCCAAUGGUACUGCCCCCGACAGGCGGGCGGGAGAGUAGGACACCGCCGGCA
rnacentral:rRNA from 1 species